rnacentral:rRNA from 1 species
UACGGGGGGAGCAAGCGUUGUUCGGAUUUACUGGGCGUAAAGGGCGCGUAGGCGGCCAGCACAAGUCAGUUGUGAAAUCUCCGGGCUUAACUCGGAAAGGUCAACUGAUACUGUGCGGCUAGAGUGCAGAAGGGGCAACUGGAAUUCUCGGUGUAGCGGUGAAAUGCGUAGAUAUCGAGAGGAACACCUGCGGCGAAGGCGGGUUGCUGGGCUGACACUGACGCUGAUGCGCGACAGCGUGGGGAGCAAACAGG